CUCGCCGGACGCAGCGCAUCCCCUCCCACGCCAGCAACCACUCCUUCACCUUUUUUAGGACGAAAGACCGGCGCCAGAGAUCCGGGCAAACCACCCGCAGGGGCGGCAGGAAGCACGCCGGUCACCACACGAGCCCAGCAGCAGCAGCAGAUCAAGCAACGGGAGAAGCGAACAUGAUCUUCAACCUCUCUACAUACACGCCGACCCCCACAUAGAUGGCAGUGCUACGCAGAGGGUUGAGUUUCGUCCCAAUGAUAUAUAAUAUAUCUCUGGGUUUGAAUUGAACACUUCCUACUCUGGCUGUGCGAACACUGACACCCAGUGGUGAACUGAAAUAAUUACACCAUGUUCUUUAAAUGAACUGAAAUGGACACAAGACCUUAUGGACUCGAAUUACACUUUGUAUUCACUGUAUGACGUCAUGUUGGCGCCAUUAUUCACUCAGGGGGUGGGUAUUUAAACCAUUUUUUGUUAC